GAUCUUGUACAUGUUGUUGGGUUUCAGUGAUGCAGCAGAGUAUAAUUUUAAAAAUUUUUACCAUAUAAUUAACCAUUUGAAAAUAGGUUUUAGUAAUUAAAACAUAACUAUCGGAACACAAAUCCUAGAAACUCUUUGAUGAUUAUAAUCAAACAAUCAAGCAUGCAAUAAGAUAAAAGAUUAUACCAUCCCGAAGAUGAGGAUCUGAUGAAUAGGUAACAGAGUGAUCUCUAGAAGACUCCAAAGUAGAAGCCCUCCAAUGGUGAUCCACACGGGAC
rnacentral:lncRNA from 1 species